rnacentral:lncRNA from 1 species
AUAUUAUAUUAUAUACAAUCUGAUGAUGCAACACUUAAGGAAGGUAUAAAGAGCAAUAAACAUUGAUAUAAUGUGAGAAAAAGCUCCCUGAAACUGUGGUAAAGCAGCUUUCAAGAUGUCCCAGAGACUGAAAUUUUAAACCCAUUUUAAAGUGGGUAAAUUAUUUUCCUCAAACACAUUUUCAUGUAUUUUUUUUUUCUUUUAUUGGUUCUCUAAUCCAUUAUUUUAGGUGCUUUUUAAAUGGGAUUCUCUGAUCUUUAUCUGCUUCCAGGUGUAUUGGAAUUAUUUCUGCCUGGUGUCUGCUCUUGGCUGGCAGGACAGGGCAGGGCCAGCAAGGUUGAUAAUUUCUACCCUGCUGGGUAGAACCUGCCAGGCGAGGAAGGAGACGUGGUUUGAGCAUCAGCAAUUCCAAAUUUAAAAUAAUCUAAGAUUAAAAAACUCUCUCUGAGUCAGUUCCAGCAGGAAGUUGAGCCUCCACUUCCUAAAUCCAAAGAGGAUCCUUGACAUUUUGGUCCAAACCCUUCCCAAAAUCCAUUAUUUGAGAUGAAAAUGUACAGAAUGUCAGAUUGGGAAUAGUUUAAUUUUAUCUGUGAUCAAAGUCUGGCAGUGACUGACUCAUUUUAAGGGUAGAUUUCUUCAUUUCCAGAUACCUCCAGCAGUGUAUUUUAUUAAAAUAACAAAAAUUAAUGCCUAUUCCAUUUUACAGUAGGAAAAAAGCGAUUUAAUUUGAUGCCUGAAUUUGUUCAUUAUCUGUAAAGUUGAACAAAAAUGUUUUGCUUUUUUUUAUUUCAAGUCUCCAGAUGAACAAAGCAUUUGUUCUCAUAGCAAAAUGCUUCAUUAAUUUAUUUUGAAAAUGUGAGGGGGAAAAAAAACCCUGUGAAUGGAAGAUUCUGUUCUGAUCUGUGAAGUGCUGGGAUUUAAAUUUUGGGAAUUUUUUCUCUGAGACAGUUCACUGGAUUGAUCUUGUUGUAAUUAUCAGUUCUAAUCCACAGAUUCCUCAGUAAUUAAUAAUGAAAGACCUAAAAUAAAUGAUUUUUUUACAAAACUAGAAAUACA